AGUUUGAUUAUGGCUCAGAUUGAACGCUGGCGGGAUGUUUUACAGGUGUCGAACGGCAGCACGGACUUCGGUCUGGUGGCGAGUGGCGAACGGGUGAGUAAUGUAUCGGAACGUGCCUAGUAGCGGGGGAUAACUACGCGAAAGCGUAGCUAAUACCGCAUACCGCCCUUCGGGGGAAAGCGGGGACCUUCGGGCCUCGCACUAUUAGAGCGGCCGAUAUCGGAUUAGCUAGUUGGUGGGGUAACGGCUCACCAAGGCGACGAUCCGUAGCUGGUUUGAGAGAUGACCAGCCACACUGGGACUGAGACACGGCCCAGACUCCUACGGAGUGCGCAGGGGGAAUUUUGGACAAUGGGGGAAACCCUGAUCCAGCCAUCCCGCGUGUGCGAUGAAGGCCUUCGGGUUGUAAAGCACUUUUGGCAGGAAAGAAACGGCACGGGAUAAUACCCCCGUAACUGACGGUACCUGCAGAAUAAGCACCGGCUAACUACGUGCCAGCAGCCGCGGUAAUGCCGUGUAGGGUGCAAGCGUUAAUCGGAAUUACUGGGCGUAAAGCGUGCGCAGGCGGUUCGGAAAGAAAGAUGUGAAAUCCCAGAGCUUAACUCCCCUUUGGAACUGCAUUUUUAACUACCGAGCUAGAGUGUGUCAGAGGGAGGUGGAAUUCCGCGUGUAGCAGUGAAAUGCGUAGAUAUGCGGAGGAACACCGAUGGCGAAGGCAGCCUCCUGGGAUAACACUGACGCUCAUGCACGAAAGCGUGGGGAGAGCAAACAGGAUUAGAUACUCCCGGAGUAGUCCACGCCCUAAACGAUGUCAACUAGCUGUUGGGGCCUUCGGCCUUGGUAGCGCAGCUAACGCGUGAAGUUGACCGCCUGGGGAGUACGGUCGCAAGAUUAAAACUCAAAGGAAUUGACGGGGACCCGCACAAGCGGUGGAUGAUGUGGAUUAAUUCGAUGCAAACGCGAAAACCUUACCUACCCUUGACAUGUCUGGAAUCCCGAAGAGAUUUGGGAGUGCUCGCAAGAGAACCGAACACAGGUGCUGCAUGGCUGUCGUCAGCUCGUGUCGUGAGAUGUUGGGUUAAGUCCCGCAACGAGCGCAACCUUGUCAUUAGUUGCUACGAAGGGCACCUAAUGAGACUGCUGGCGACAAACCGGAGGAAGGUGGGGAUGACGUCAAGUCCUCAUGGCCCUUAUGGGUAGGGCUUCACACGUCACAAUGGUCGGGACAGAGGGUCGCCAACCCGCGAGGGGGAGCCAAUCCCAGAAACCCGAUCGUAGUCCGGAUCGCAGUCUGCAACCUGGACUGGUGAAGUCGGAAUCGCUAGUAAUCGCGGAUCAGCAUGUCGCGGUGAAUACGCUCCGGCCCGUACACACCGCCCGUCACACCAUGGGAGUGGGUUUUACCAGAAGUAGUUGUGCCUUAACCGUAAGGAGUGGCGAUUACCACGGUAGGAUUCAUGACUGGGGUGAAGUCGUAACAAGGUAG
rnacentral:rRNA from 1 species